rnacentral:rRNA from 1 species
CCUACGGGUGGCUGCAGUGAGGAAUAUUGGUCAAUGGACGAGAGUCUGAACCAGCCAAGUAGCGUGAAGGAUGACUGCCCUAUGGGUUGUAAACUUCUUUUAUAUGGGAAUAAAAUUUUCCACGUUUGGGAUUUUGUAUGUACCCUAUGAAUAAUGAUCGGCUCACUCCGUGCCAUCAGCAGCGUUCAUACGGAGGAUCCGAGCGUUAUCCGGAUUUAUUGGGUUUAAAGGGAUCGUAGGGGGCUUGUUAAGUCCGUUGUGAAAGUUUGCGGCUCAACCGUAAAAUUGCAGUUGAAACUGGCAGUCUUGAGUACAGUAGAGGUAGGCGGAAUUCGUGGUGUAGCGGUGAAAUGCUUAGAUAUCACGAAGAACUCCGAUUGCGAAGGCAGCUCACUGGACUGCAACUGACACUGAGGCUCGAAAGUGUGGGUAUCAAACAGGAUUAGAUACCCUAGUAGUC